UGGGGAAUAUUGCGCAAUGGGGGAAACCCUGACGCAGCAACGCCGCGUGAAGGAUGAAGGUUUUCGGAUUGUAAACUUCUUUGACGAGGGACGAAAAAAAUGACGGUACCUCGAAAACAAGCCACGGCUAACUACGUGCCAGCAGCCGCGGUAAUACGUAGGUGGCAAGCGUUGUCCGGAUUUACUGGGUGUAAAGGGCGAGUAGGCGGGAUGGCAAGUCAGAUGUGAAAUCUAACGGCUUAACUGGUAGCGUGCAUUUGAAACUGCGGUUCUUGAGUGAUGGAGAGGCAGUCGGAAUUCCUAGUGUAGCGGUGAAAUGCGUAGAUAUUAGGAGGAACACCAGUGGCGAAGGCGGCCUGCUGGACAUUAACUGACGCUGAGGCGCGAAAGCGUGGGGAGCAAACA
rnacentral:rRNA from 1 species